ACUGGGGGUGUUCACCAGCAUCAAGACACAGGAGAGGAAUGAAGCGUAAAAAUCGGAAAGAAAGAAGGAAAAAUUCUAAUUAUUUGUCAUUAAUAUGGUUCUUUGCCCAGAAAUUCGAAGGGAUCGAAUGAAAAACUAUUUCAAACAGUAGAGAAACUUAGCGAUGUGGCAGUACGUGUUGUGGAUGUGUUAUUGUAACAACUAAUUAGGAGAUACAACAGGAACAGGAUCCCAUUUGCAACUGAUGAAAGAUAAAUUCAGGGAGACAUGCCCUUGACUUUCUUCCAAUUUAUGUACAUUAGGUAAUUUUUUUAACAGGUUGAUAAAUUACUUGAAUUUUGAGAGAUCUGGAGCUAGUGCAUGUCUGGUGCUUACAAUAAGCCUGCAGGUGAUGGAGCUCAAAAAUUAUUUCCUUCCUUUCUGCCCCUCCCUCCAUGCUGAAGCUGACCCUGAACUUUAUCUCAGCAGCUCUUGCUUUUCUACAGCCCAGGCCAUCCCUCUUCUGUUCUUGGGGGUGGGUUGAGCAGUGACAUCCUGGAAAUCCUCCAUUCAAGGCCCGCCCAAUUCUGGGAAAGCAUCUCUGUUCCCGAGGACGUGCGUCCUCGGGUCCUGGCUGACUACGGGCGUUCCCUCACGGGGGUCAGUGGGUCACAGGUCAGAAACCUGACCGCCCGCCCAGGGAUCAGCCCGUCCUGCUGGAGGCACAAGCGACGUGGUCAAAGCUCCCCACCCGUGAGGUGUCAUUCUGGCGCAUUCGGCUCAUCCGGACCUUCUCGUAGACAGUGUAGACGGUUGGGCUGCACUCGGGCUUAGGGGGAUGACAGCUGUCCCUCUCCAUGUCAUUCUGUGAUUCAAGCAGAGUUUAAGGGUGCUCGUGGUCAACAUCAAAGAACCAGGCGCAGAGGGCCUGAGUCUGAGCUUGUACGUAGUGAGCCCCUCCAGAGCAGCCUGGGUUCUCUCCUGCUGCUUCCCCUGCCAAGCUGCGUGCGCUCGGGUCAGUCACACACCUAACCGGGCCUGCCUCCUUCCCGCUCCGGCUCCGCCAUCCCUCCUCCCCGGGUGGUGGCGAGGACCCGAUGAGAUUGUGUGCAUAGGAGCGAGGCAUCGCCCCUGUCCGUGGCCUCCACCCUUCACUCGCCAUUCCAGACACAGCAACCGCAGCAUCCACAGCAAGGACCGGCCCAGAGCCGGAAGAGCCGCGGGUACCCUGGACCGGCCAGCACUCACAGCCUCUGGGCACCAGUUGGUGGACCAGGUUCAGUUCCCUUGGACCCACCUUGGGGUGUCUCAGGAGGCUAAUCUCCACGUCAGGAGGACUGUGGCUGUGGGCCCCUGCAGUCCGCAGGCCGGCAGGUUCCUCUGUGGGCGGGGCCUGGGGCACCGCGGCUGAGCCCAGCUCUGUGGGCAGCAGAGCGGACCUGCCUGUACACAGCACGCACAGUGAGGGCGUGUGGGAUUGAGGUGACCCCUCGCCAGCCCCAGGGUGGGGCGGCCAUGGAUCCCUGCCCAUCCCUGCCGUCCAUUCCCCUCCCAUAGGGGAGUGCACACAGCCCCUACCCUCGGGGCCGCGCGGCCCCAGCCUUCUACCCAGAUGAUUCACAGGCACGGCGAGGUGAGGUCAGUAAGCCCCGGCUGCCAGCCCGGCCCCUCCCGGGAUCCCCUCCAUCCACUGCCCUCCCCCAGAGCUCCCCUGAGGCUCUCGCUAGCACCUACCCCUCCUGGACUGUAUCUUCUUCCUCACUAAGACGCACACUCCGCAGGCCAGGCUCAGCAUCAGAACUGUGAACAGGACGCCUCUCCAAAGCCACUUGCUCUGAGAACCUGCCAGCAAAGACCCGUGUCAGCCCCGACAGGUUCCCGCCCGCCGGCCGGGGGCCUCGUGCCAGGCCGCCUGUCCCUUCUGCCCAGAGACCUCAGAGGCUCCCAGCAGCCGCA